CGUGAGCAACCUGCCUUGGAGUGGGGAAGUAACACAGUGAAAAUUAGUGCUAAUACCGCAUGAUAUGACUGUAUCGCAUGGUACUGGUCAUCAAAGAUUUAUCGCUCUGAGAUGGACUCGCGUCUGAUUAGCUGGUUGGCGGGGUAACGGGCCCACCCAAGGCGACGAUCAGUAGCCGGACUGAGAGGUUGGCCGGCCACAUUGGGACUGAGACACGGCCCAGACUCCUACGGAAGGCAGCAG
rnacentral:rRNA from 1 species